UACAGAGGUCCCAAGCGUUGUUCGGAUUCACUGGGCGUAAAGGGCGCGUAGGUGGCGGGGUAAGUUUGAUGUGAAAUCUCCGGGCUUAACCCGGAAAUGGCAUUGAAUACUAUUCUGCUGGAGGUUUGGAGGGGGGACUGGAAUUCUCGGUGUAGCAGUGAAAUGCGUAGAUAUCGAGAGGAACACCAGUGGCGAAGGCGAGUCCCUGGACAACACCUGACACUGAGGCGCGAAAGCUAGGGGAGCAAACAGG
rnacentral:rRNA from 1 species